rnacentral:piRNA from 1 species
UCCAGAUCCCGCACGUUGCCUUUGCUCUC